AGUUGGUACCUUAAACGUUGUGCUCCCUAUGAACAAAAAUGGAGACACUAGCCAUGUGGCAAGGGAGCAAACUUUUGCUUCGUUUAUAAUCCUCAUCAUGCUUUCCCUGUUGUAUAUUCCUUAAUUAAUCUCAAUCAUUGGGAAAUGAAUCUGUUUUUAACUUUUUUCCGGUCCUGAAUUCGGUAGGUAAUAAGGUCACAUUCUUGCCAUUGCAUUCCAUUAGAGCGUGUGAUCUCCGAGUUGUUGGCACUGGCGUAUGGUUUGUUGUGCGACAGACUAUGUUUAUUUUUCUUUUUGGCUCAACAUACAUUUUGCAUGCAACAGGACCACGAGUGAUCCAAGAUCCACUGAUCCCUCUUCACAUUGUUGAUCCAAUUUAAGUUCAAUCCAACACUUCGCCACUGAUGUUGCUGGCACAAUUUUUUUUGGAGGAAAUGCUGUCAUAAUUUUUGCCCACGGAAAAUGUACUUCUUGAUCUAAACUAGAUUUAGUCAUAUCGUUCUUUAUUUACAAAUACACCUUCCAGCAAAAAGAUAAGUCAUUUGUCCAAACAGUGAAGCACUAGUAGCAUUGCCAUCGUUCUUGUUUUUUCCACAGGGACAGAAGUAAACGGCCAAGUAUUUCAGACCAGUGAGAGGAAUAUGCUAGCAUUGGAGUUGGAAUAGGAAAGAAGUACAGAAAUGCACAGGAUCAGUUUGAUGGUUGUUGAGAAUUCAGGAUUUGUGGCCUCCUGUAUUCUCUCAAAAACUGACCUCCUGAAGUUUGACCUCGCUAGUUGUUUAACCACAGAUCUGAAGUCCAUGUUCUCCAUAUUAGGAUAGGCACUAUUCUUUUUUUCUGAGGAUCAUUAACUUGACCCAUGAUUUCUUGAAGAGCCGGACAAAGUUUCCCAGUAACAGCAAUUGGUUUGAUUGCCCUCCUCGGUAUGCUCAUUGAAGCAUGCAUUCCUGCUGCUCCGUUUGCUUGAAGACCUCCUAUACAAUCAUGCCAUAUGCCUCAUAGUAGGUGCUGGAAAUUGUUGAAGAGCAGGAGAUUAUGUUUUACGCAAAUAAUUUGAAAGUUCUCAAGGAUUCCAAUUAGUACUACUUCCUGCGUGGUGUGCUGUCGAUGGUUCUUCCUUGCCAUGCUGAUUCCGGCUAAACUAGGACCAACUGGACUCUUGAUGGAGUGGAAACUUCCCAUGCUGAUCAGUUGCAACCUUCAGGUAGCACGAGGGGCCAUUCGACCUGGUGAGCAGAAGACGACAAAUGCAUCUCUAGUUGGCAGCAAAGGAACUGAACGCGUUGCCCUCCUCAACCGUUCAACUGCCUUGCUGCUGUCAGCUGGAGUAAUAUAACUUCUCUCCAAUUGCAUAACAUUAUCUCGUCAGCUGGUUCUAUUGUAGGUCAGAAACACAAAGGCCUGUUUUGUCAACUUGUGUCCGCUGCAUUUGCAGAACCUCAUUGAGUCAUUGUCAACACCUAGUCUAACAAGAAAAAAGAAAUUCCUCUAUCUGUUGCUGAAACAUACAGGUAUAUAUGAUUGAACCGAGCGGAAUACUAGUCUGCGUCUUUCCCUUUCCUAGCAAUACAAAUUUGUGUUUGCCGACAGGAUUAGAAUGUGGACUGUACAUCAUUGUGCACGAAUGCCACACUAUCUGAUCUUUCCUGAGAAGGAACUGGAAUAAGAAUUGGUUUGGAUUUGUGCUGGUUGUUGAGAGCUGAAAAGCUGUCUACUGGUUUCAGGGAUCCUCCUUUCCUUGUUUUCAGAUGAGUGCCUCAUUUCUGCUUUAACAAUUAUUCAGCAUGGGCACAUCUAUUUUAUUUUUUCAUCCCCUUGGACCUAUAAAAAAGAAGUAAAGUCAACAGACCAUGCACAUAUAUUUUUACUGCUUCUGGGAUCAAGUUCCUGGUAUUGCCGGCAUUCCCAGUUACCGAAGUAGAUUACUCCAUGAUUGACAAAGUUACCAUCUUAAUAUAUUUCAAUUUAGCCUCUCUCUUUUUUAAGUCGUAUUUCACAUGCUCACUUGUCAGAUCAGAUUGGCUAAUAACCCAUGGACCAAUGGUCCAUGCGUUAAUUUCAAACAGGCUAGUCCCAUAAGUUUUGGCUAAUAACCUAGCAAAGUCUAUCAGUUAUUUAAUAACGCAGCGAUCUGUCAAGAUGGGAGCGAAUUUAUGAUAUUUUGGUUCCACUUCCAUGUGACAGCGACACAUUUUGUGGUUUAGUUUUGUGAGAUUCAGAGAUACUGCUGCACCUUAACUAUCGAAUCAUCUCGCCUCCCACGAUAGCGAGACCACAUACCACCUCAUUGAAGAAAACAUGGAGACACAUGCCAAGAGACAAGGUAUAUGGUGCCAAGGUCCCCGUUGCAUUCGGCCGGAUUUGCGAUCUUGCUGGGAGUUAGUAGUUGGCAGCGACAUCUUCGUCGUCGAUGGGUGCCCGUCUCUUUUGCUAAUCAAACUGCGCUGCGGGCAUUGGAGCAGAACAUUAUAUUAGGUGAUGCAUGAAUGCAUGAUCCACUGAUCAGGCCCGCACUUCUGCCAUCAUUGAUCUGCCGUCCUGUCGAGCCGACACUUCGCCCCUGCUGUUGUUACCUGUCGCUCUAGCUACUUUUGCUUGCUUGCUUGCUUGCUUGCUGAAACUUGUGUGGAUCU